rnacentral:lncRNA from 1 species
UUCGGCAUCGCGCACGCGGUCGUCGGGCAGCCACACCUCGACGCGGUAGCUGCGGCCAAAGUCGUGCACGAGCGGCAGGAGCAUGUGUGUGCACGCUGUCGGUGCAGCGCCGCCGCCGCCAUCCGACUCCGUGGCGACGAGCGCCACGAGCACAUUGCCAAAGUGGAGAUCGUUGUGCACCACCGAGAGAUGCUGCUGGAGGACGCUCACGGCCAUCAGUACGCCGCGCACAAUACCAAACCAUUGGUCGGCCGUGAGGUCGGUGCGUGCGGCCAGGCUCGCCAGGUCGCCCCAGGCCAUUUCGCUCACCAAGAGGUAGGCCGCCAGCGGGCGGCCAGGAUCGAGCGACUCGAUCGUUAGGCCAUACGCCUCUAGGGCGUCGGCGAUGGCCGUCAGGUCCGCCGUUGUGCGCACAAUCGCCCGCACCUGGCGCCGACGCGCUGGCGGCGCGGCGUCGAUCACCUGCUGGCGGAGGUCGUAAUCGCGCGCGGCCGCACCCAGGAGGCUGCCGGGCGCGUAGGUGACGGCGUCGCAGUAGGUAGUGCCGUAAACCAACGGAAAGUGGGGACUCGCGCCCUGGCGCACGAGAUCGGACGCCGCCUGCGCGAUCGUCAUCUCGCUAUUGUUUCGUGCCGCGCUGUCGUCGCUCACCACGGCCAGCACCUUGACGGCCAUGCGCGUAGCGUCGGGCGCUCGCAGGGCCGCCGAAAAGACCACAUCCGCACUCGGUCCCGUGUUUGACCCAAGACGCCCGUACUGCCCGGGACGUCGCGACGCAAUUAUGGUCUCGUAGACCUCGGCGUCGGCGCUGGGCGACCCGAUGCGGCGGCUGAGCACCAAGAGGCGCGUACACGCACCUCCCUGUCCGCCAUUUGCGCGUGGGCAGAUGCAUGAACGCAGUGCGCCUUGUAGGGCCUCGGUGGCGCGCUCAUAUGCGCCGACGCGCUGGUGGAGGGCCGGCCAUGUGUGUCUGGCGUCGGCAUCCCACCGCGCGCAGGCGGCCUCGACAUAGGUGGGCGGCGCGGCGGCAUCGAGCGAGGACACCCCACGCUCCAUGGACGGCGUCAGUGUCGUUGCUAUUGUUGCGGAGGCGACUGCGACAGUCCCCUCCCGGAGGGUCAAAGGCAGAGACGUUCGGGGUGCGGCAAUUGCAGUUGUGCGGGCGGCGCCGGGCGCGUGUUGUCGUCGUCUUUAACUCUAUCGCGCGUCUCUUCUGGGAUCUCUAAGGGGAGGGGGGUGGGCGGUGCGUCGCCGCGCACGGCGCGGCGCUGGGAGAGCCUUGUAGGCCGACUCGGCGGCGGUAGGUUGGCCGCGCCAGGUGCCAAUCCAACACACCGCGCGCGAUGGUCGCGGCACGACCGACACAAAAAAGUUUUGCGACAGGAAAAGCGUGGCUAAAAGAGACGAAAUAGCGGAAAGAGAAAGAGUGGUCCGGCCUCCUCAUUCCCGGCAUCUUCUUUUUUUACCGCGCCCGCGCUUUCUCAAGACCUUGCGUCGUAUAACAGUGACGAGACAACGAAAAAUACACCCGCAAAACCAGGACUCGUAUUGCGGCGCAAGAGAAAGAUGGACCCGACACGCAUGUCCGUUUUUUCCCUUGUCUGCUGCGCCAAAAAUGUCGAGUCACUCUCUGAGCGCACACACGACGGGCGAAAAAAGGAAUAGGGCAAAGGAAAAAACUUGACGGUUUGGGUCUGGGAAUAGAGCGGCGUCGGUUGCGCGCACGUGCGGGCGAUGCACGUAACAUUCUUCCCUCCCUCCGUUUUCGUCCCAUCUUUGGUUUGUCCCUGGUGUCGCGCAUGGCAAACAACAGAGAACAAGCGAGGGGGCGGGAAGAAAAAGAAGGCGUGCGCUGUCCCUUUUUCACACAGCCAUUUGUUUGGUUUUUCUGAUUGUUUUUUUGUCCUUGUGUUUUUUUUACAUAUCGCUCUCGGUCUCGUCGUCGCUCGCAUAGGCCGCACGGGCGCCGAGAUUGCACGACCCGCGAAAUGGCCGGUCGCGCAACCACGCCGCGAGUUGAACGUCGCCAAAGCGCAUCACGGCAACGAGCGCGUCGGGAUAGUCGCCGUGAAAGAGCGGACCGACGGCGACGGCCGGCAUGUCAAACAUGCCCGCGCGCAUGAGAGGCGGCAGCGGCGGCAGCGGACGCGUCGCAGGCAGGGCGC